UCUCCUCGACGAGCCAGAUGGUAGCUUCAGCUUUAGAAGGAUGAAUGAUCAAAUCCAAGCUCUGAUCUUCAGAAUCACUACCCAGUCUCGCUUGAUCCCAACGCUGUAACAAAGCGUUCGUGAGGUAAUGCAAAGGCUGACCAUAAAGCUCCUUGAUCGACAUGGCUAACCCGACCCAGCUCGUGAACGGGAUCAAAGAACCGCGGCUAGUCGGAAGAGGAAGCUCCUUCAUGUAGCCUUGAUACGUCUCUGCUCUUAUCAGCAGCGAAACUGAUGCAAAAGAUUGAAACUUUUUGGGUCAGGAACGGUGGAAAAGGAGAGAGACAAUGAAUCACAUUACCUUCGUCUUCGGCGACCGUAUGAGGUCUAUCGGUCGGCAAAAAGCCAUCGCCGUCGCUGAUCUCAGCUUCGACAUCAGAGGAGCUAGAGUCGUCUGAUGCUCGUGGAUUCAUAGUCACGUCACUCUGCAUGGUCCCAAACGAGCAGUGAGAUUAUCUGAGAACGUACGACGGCACCACGAGGCCCCUUAACGCUAGGGCUUUUAAGGGAAGAAGACGAAGAGGGAUAACUUGUACACGUGUCAGUUAAAACGUCACUUGUUGUUGUCAGUUGUGUUGUGUGAGGUAACCAAAAAUCCAAAAUUGAAAUUGAAUUAAAGUAAACCGAUAAACCGGAUUUAACCCGGCGUAAACCAGCAAGCUUUAAUCGUAUUUGAUACAAGCUUAACCCUUUUCAACUUGUUUCUUCUUCUUCUUCCUCUCGCGCCGUCGUUCAUUCUCUCUAAAACACUUCUCAAGCAAAGUUGUUCAAUCUUCUUCGUUUCGUUGUUAACUGUAAGCUUUCUUCUUCUCCUUGAAUGGUUUAUUUCAAUCUCAGAGCAUUAUCGUCUUAGUAAUAGACUGUAAUAGACGUAACCUAGGUUAAUAAAGCUAUAAUAUUUCGUCCUUAGAUUGUGAUAUUGAAGGUCACAGAACCAGUUAGAUACAAACCCUAAUUCAAAGAUUGGUCCUUUAUUGAGUUUUCAGCUUCUACCAGUUGGUUAAGAGUCUGAAUGUCAAAACCCUAGUUCAAAGAUUGAACCUUUAUUGAUUAAGAGUCUGAAUAUGUGGAGUAGCUUGACUUUGAUUGAUUUAUUGUUGUUGUUAUGUUCCUGUCUUGAUUCUGAACCUGAUUGUUUUUAAUCAAAUUUGGAGCAGAUGUCGUUUGAAGAUGAUUUUGUGGAAGACGAUGAGAUGAACAUGAUUGAUGAAGACGUAGCAUCUGACUCCGAAGCAGAGUCUUUGUCAGAUUCCGAUUCAGAAAACGCGAUCACUGAGAAGCUACCUGAGCCGACAAAGACUGCUGUCUACAACAGAGAUGGGCUUCUUGAUAAGCUUCAAGACAUAAGCUGGCCAGAAGAUGCUGAUUGGACUCAUAAGCUCACCGUCGAGAUUGAGCAAGGACAAGCCGUUGAUGUAAACGACGACCUCGCUAGAGAGAUGGCCUUCUACACUCAAGCACUCGAAGGGACGAGGCAGGCUUUCGAGAAGCUCCAGGAGAUGGGACUGCCUUUCCUAAGGCCGGCGGAUUACUACGCGGAGAUGGUGAAAUCAGAUACGCACAUGGAGAAGGUGAAGUCUAAGCUUCUGUACGAGAAGAAACAGAUGGAGGAGUCUGAGGAGAGGAGGAAAGCGAGGGAUAACAAGAAGAUGGCUAAGGAAGUACAGUCUCAGAAGAUGAAGGAGCGCGCUAAGCAGAAGAAGGAUGAGAUUGAGUCUGUCAAGAAGUGGAGGAAACAGAGGCAGCAGAGCGGGUUUAGUGAGAAAGGAGCAGGAGAGCUUGAUCUUGAGUUUGGAAAUGGGAAGAGUUUCCAGAGAGGAGGUGGGAAGAAGAGGCCGGGUGUGUCUCCUGGUGAUCGAUCGGGAGGUAAAGGGAAGCCUACUUCGAGGAUGAACAAUAAGAAGAGGGAGUUUAGGGACUCCAAGUUUGGUCAUGGUGGAAGGAAAGGGUUGAGCAAGCAGAACACUGCAGAGACGACGAAUGAUUUCAAAGGAGGGUUUCGUGGAGGCAAAGCUGGUGGAAACAAGAGACAGAAGAGAUAAACAAGGUUUGGUUAUCUAAACUCAUCUACAGUUUCAUCACUACAAACUAUUUUGUCAUCUUGGAUUAUGUUUUGAGAGAAUGUUUCUUUGAAUUUUUGUAAGGGUCUUCGGACCAAUAUAUUUUAGUUAAGAGUGUUGUACUAAAUGAUUACUUGAAUCAACAAAGCUCAACGUGUUUUCAAAGAAGCUAGAGGUGGCAAGUUGUUUCUUCUUCCAAAAUUCAUCAUUGAAGAAAUAUGAUUUUAACUAAUUAAAAGAUGAUGAUUAUUGAAGUUUUAGGCCGUGGAUUUAAAGUCAAACUCGAGCCCUCUCUCUCUUUUUUUUAGAAGAAUCCACCAAUAUAGAUUCUGUUUUUGCUUUUCCUUCGCCUCCUGUGCGGCCCGACUCCCUCUUCCUCUUGCUUACUAUUUGUAUGAAUCUUGGGAAGUUUUAUGCCUCCUGUGCACUUUUUCAAGAUGAUGUGAAAAAUGAAAAAUCAGUUUUCAUAUAGUUUUAUGGACCAAGCUGGUGUAUUGUUAUCAUUUUGGUUGAGUUUAGAGUUUAUUUAGUGAGGAUUGAUCUCCAUGGAAUUCAUAAUAACGUUGCUUAAUCUAUAAAGGUAACAAAUCAAUUCAGUCCCCUAUCUAAUUCGUCAGAACAAGUCCAUAUAUACAGUUUGUCAGUUUCACUACAAUGGCUUAUUACUAUAUGUUGUAUAGCACCAAAGAUAAUAAAUUUGUGAUCUGGAGUCCUGUUGUUCAGGUGAAAUAAGGUAAGAUUAAGCAUAGAAAAGGGUACAAAAUUCGAUUUCUCAUGCAACCAGUACAAAAUCUUGAGUGUGGCCACAUGCUUUUUUUUUCAUGUUAAAAAAAGUAUAGUAAUAUAUUUGUGGGCUAAGGCCGGAAAUAAAGAGAUUGAUGGGCCAAAUAAUGAAAGCCUAUAGAGGAAUUUAGUAAAUCACUUCACCCUUCUUCGAGACGCCGGAGAAAAGCAAAAUAGGAAUCGAACCUGAGCUAAACAGAUCUUUAAGCAUAGAAGAAGAUGGAGUGCGUAUUCGGUCUGGUUGGGAAAGGAUUCGCCAUCGUGGCGGCGGAUACAUCGGCGGUGCACAGUAUCCUUCUCCACAAAAACAACGAGGACAAGAUCAUGGUCCUUGACUCCCACAAGCUCAAAUCUCUCCGGACAAGUACACGUUCCCCUUUGGAUUGAGCGCGUGUGCGAAAAGUAGAACGAUUCGUGACGGGGCUCAGAUUCAUGGGUUGGUCGUUAGGAUGGAUUAUGCUAAGGAUCUGUUCGUGCAGAACUCGUUGGUUCAUUUCUACGCGGAGUGUGGAGAUCUUGUUUGUGCGCGGAAUGUGUUCGAUGAAAUGCCUCAGAGAAACGUAGUUUCUUGGACGAGUAUGAUUUGCGGUUACGCGAGGCGUGGUUUUGCUAAAGAAGCUGUUGAUUUGUUUUUCGAGAUGAUGAGAAGUGAAGACGUGAGGCCUAACUCGGUCACGAUGGUGUGUGUGAUCUCCGCUUGUGCUAAGCUUGAGGAUCUUGAAACAUGUGAAAAGGUUCAUGCUUUUAUCAGCAGUUCUGGCGUUGAAGUGAAUGAUGUUAUGGUUAGUGCUCUGGUCGAUAUGUAUAUGAAAUGUAAUGAUAAUGAUACAGCAAAACAGCUUUUUGAGCAAUACGGUGCGAGGAAUUUGGAUUUGUCCAACGCCAUGGCCUCGAAUUACGUACGCCAGGGGUUAACGAAGGAGGCUUUAGAUGUCUUGAGUCUAAUGAUGGACUCUGGUGUUAGACCUGAUAGGAUUUCAAUGUUGAGUGCUAUUUCAUCUUGUUCACAACUGAAGAACAUUCUGCUGGGAAAGAGUUGUCAUGGAUAUGUUAUGAGGAAUGGGUUUGAAAGUUGGGAUAACAUAUGUAACGCCCUGAUUGAUAUGUACAUGAAGUGUCGGAAGCAAGAUACUGCGGUUAAGAUGUUUGAUCGGAUGUUGAACAAGACAGUGGUCACGUGGAACUCAAUAAUCGCUGGAUAUAUUGAGAAUGGUGAUGUGGAUGCAGCUUGGGAAACAUUCAACACCAUGCCUGAGAAGAACAUUGUUUCUUGGAACACGAUCAUUGGCGGUUUGGUUCAAGAAGGCAUGUUCGAGGAAGCGAUUGAAGUUUUCCGGUCUAUGCAAGGCCAAGAGGGUGUUGAUGCGGAUGGAGUGACAAUGAUGAGCAUUGCAUCUGCUUGUGGGCACUUGGGAGCUCUUGAUCUUGCAAAGUGGAUAUAUUACUACAUUGAGAAGAACGGGACUCAGCUUGAUGUCAGACUUAGUACCAGUUUAGUGGAUAUGUUUUCCAGGUGUGGGGAUCCGGAAACAGCAAUGUCAAUAUUCAAUGGUUUAGCUAACAGAGAUGUCUCGGCUUGGACAGUUGCUAUAAGAGCAAUGGCUAUGUCGGGAAACGCUGAGCGGGCCAUAGAGCUUUUCGAUGAGAUGAUUGAACAAGGUUUGAAACCAGAUGGGGUAGUGUUUGUUGGAGCAUUGACAGCAUGUAGCCAUGGUGGAUUGGUCCAACAAGGUAAGGAGAUCUUCGAGUCAAUGAAGAAACUUCACGGAGUUUCUCCAGAAGACGUGCACUAUGGAUGCAUGGUUGAUCUGCUUAGUCGAGCAGGAUUGUUAGAGGAAGCUAUGCAACUCAUAAAGUCCAUGCCUUUGGAGCCAAACGAUGUGAUUUGGAACUCUCUUUUAGCCGCUUGUCGUGUUCACGGCAAUGUGGAGAUGGCUGCUUAUGCAGCUGCAAAGAUACAAGUCUUGGCUCCAGAGAGAACUGGGAGUUAUGUGCUUUUGUCAAAUGUUUACGCAUCAGCUGGAAGAUGGAACGAUGUGGCAAAAGUGAGGCUGAGUAUGAAGGAGAAAGGGUUACGCAAACCACCAGGAACUAGUCUAAUAGAGAUUCGAGGCAAGACUCAUGAGUUCACAUCAGGGGAUGAGUCACACCCGGAGAUGCGGAAAAUAGAAGCAAUGCUCGAUGAAGUUAGCCGUGAGCUAGGCCAUGUACCUGAUCUCAGCAGUGUUCUGAUGGAUGUAGAUAAGCAAGAGAAGAGAUUCAUGCUUAGCCGACACAGCGAGAAACUUGCAAUGGCCUUUGGUCUCAUUAGCUCAAACAAAGGCACAAGAAUAAGAAUAGUCAAAAACCUGAGAGUAUGUUCUGAUUGUCACUCAUUCGCAAAGUUAGCAUCCAAAGCGUAUGACAGAGAAAUCGUUCUAAGAGACAAUAACAGGUUUCAUUUCAUAAGUCAAGGCAAGUGUUCUUGUAAUGACUUCUGGUGAUUACAGAGAUGAAAGAAAAAAGCAUUCACAUUACAUUGUCUAAAAUUAAAAUAGAGAAUGACUUAGAUACAAAAAAGGUGUUUAUGAUUGUGAUAACUUGGGAAUGAUUGGAUCAAUCAACAUGUGAUACGUAGGAUCAGAACCCCAAAGCUCAGCAAUCUGAGGAUGAGAAGAAGUGAGCCGAUGAAUCUCCUCGACGAGCCAGAUGGUAGCUUCAGCUUUAGAAGGAUGAAUGAUCAAAUCCAAGCUCUGAUCUUCAGAAUCACUACCCAGUCUCGCUUGAUCCCAACGCUGUAACAAAGCGUUCGUGAGGUAAUGCAAAGGCUGACCAUAAAGCUCCUUGAUCGACAUGGCUAACCCGACCCAGCUCGUGAACGGGAUCAAAGAACCGCGGCUAGUCGGAAGAGGAAGCUCCUUCAUGUAGCCUUGAUACGUC
rnacentral:lncRNA from 1 species